GGAUUAGGCAUGCAAGUCGAGCGAGAAAGCCCGCAAGGGUGAGAUAAAGCGGCGAAAGGGUGAGUAAUAUAUAGGCAAUCUACGCCUCGGACUGGGAUAAUUCCUGGAAACGGGUUGUAAUACCAGAUGGUCCAACGAGGUCGCAUGACCUUGUUUGUAAAUGGUAGCUUUGCUUCUGCCGAGGACGGAGCCUAUAUCCCAUUAGCUAGUUGGUAGGGUAACGGCCUACCAAGGCUGUGAUGGGUAGCCGGACUGAGAGGUUGGCCGGUCACACUGGGACUGAGACACUGCCCAGACUCCUACGGGAGGCUGCAGUCGAGAAUCUUCCGCAAUGGGCGCAAGCCUGACGGGGCGACGCCGCGUGGAUGACGAAGGCCUUCNGGUUGUAAAAUCCUGUCGCGAGGGAAGAACCGCUGGGGGUUAAUAGCCUUCCAGCCUGACGUUACCUCGAGAGGAAGCCAUGGCUAACUCCGUGCCAGCAGCCGCGGUAAUACNGAGAUGGCAAGCGUUGUUCGGAUUUACUGGGCAUAAAGCGCACGUAGGCGGAUCUACAAGUCGGUUGUGAAAUCCCGGGGCUCAACCCCGGAACUGCGGCCGAUACUAUAGAUCUAGAGCAUGAAAGGGGAGAGUGGAACUUCUGGUGGAGCGGUGAAAUGCGUAGAUAUCAGAAGGAACACCGGUGGCGAAAGCGACUCUCUGGUUCAUUGCUGACGCUGAGGUGCGAAAGCUAGGGGAGCAAACGGGAUUAGAUACCCCGGUAGUCCUAGCCGUAAACGAUGGGCACUAAGUAGAGGGGUUUU
rnacentral:rRNA from 1 species